GGGAUUAUAAUAUUAAUCAUAAAUUUAUUAUUACAGAUUGAAUCCAAAAAUAAUUGAAGAAAUGGUUUCAGAUGAUUACGAAUAAGCGCAGCUAUAUCUGGAGAGGUAAUGCACCUACUGAUAUCCCGUGAUAAGAACUUGGGAGAGAUUUAGUGAAAACCUGGAGAACGGCCACUUAGCUCACAAAUCUGAGCUGUUCACAUCAAGCUGAUAUUUGUGACAGCCAUUAUAGCUUCAAUCAUCUUCUCGAUUGAUCAAAGCACCACAGGCUGCAUCGUUCGUCACCUCUGCCUUCAAGCGCGUUAUGACUUACUCCAAUAAGCCAACCAAAUAUCCUUAAUAAGCAAUAGAAGUUCUUAUCGACUGUUUAUGACUCAUUAACAUCCAUGUUUUGUAUAAAUUUAUGUGAUAGGCCUACUGAUAUUAAUGUUGAUGUACCGUAAUGUUUUUUGCUCAUGUAUAAUAUUGAUAAUAAUACAUUAAAAAUAAAUAAAAAGUUAAAUUAUUA